GACGAACGCUGGCGGCGUGCUUAACACAUGCAAGUCGAACGGUAAGGCCCCUUCGGGGGUACACGAGUGGCGAACGGGUGAGUAACACGUGAGCAACCUGCCCUUGACUCUGGAAUAACAGUUGGAAACAGCUGCUAAUACUGGAUAUUCAUCGUCUCCUUCCUGGGGGGUGGUGGAAAGCUCCGGCGGUCAGGGAUGGGCUCGCGGCCUAUCAGCUUGUUGGUGAGGUAAUGGCUCACCAAGGCUUCGACGGGUAGCCGGCCUGAGAGGGCGACCGGCCAAACUGGGACUGAGAUACGGCCCAGACUCCUACGGGAGGCAGCAGUGGGGAAUAUUGCACCAUGGGCGCAAGCCUGAUGCAGCAACGCCGCGUGCGGGAUGACGGCCUUCGGGUUGUAAACCGCUUUCAGUAGGGACGAAGGGUGACUGACGGUACCUACAGAAGAAGGACCGGCUAACUACGUG
rnacentral:rRNA from 1 species